rnacentral:piRNA from 1 species
UCCUAAGUCUGUUCCCAGGUCAUGGCCAUC